CCUACGGGAGGCAGCAGUAGGGAAUAUUGUUCAAUGGGGGAAACCCUGAAGCAGCAACGCCGCGUGGAGGAUGAAGGUUUUCGGAUUGUAAACUCCUUUUGUUAGAGAAGAUAAUGACGGUAUCUAACGAAUAAGCACCGGCUAACUCCGUGCCGGCAGCGGCGGUAAUACGGAGGGUGCGAGCGUUACUCGGAAUCACUGGGCGUAAAGGGCGCGUAGGCGGGAUAGCAAGUCAGAUGUGAAAUCCUAUGGCUUAACCAUAGAACUGCAUUUGAAACUGUUAUUCUUGAGUAUAGGAGAGGUAGGUGGAAUUCGUGGUGUAGCGGUAAAAUGCGUAGAUAUCACGAGGAACACUCAUUGCGAAGGCGGCCUACUAGAACAUAACUGACGCUGAUGCGCGAAAGCGUGGGGAGCAAACAGGAUUAGAUACCCGGGUAGUC
rnacentral:rRNA from 1 species